rnacentral:lncRNA from 1 species
GAUCAGUGAGACUGAGAAAUGCAUAGCCGUGCUCAAAUGAAUUGAUAGUGUAUUCAAUAUCAUUUAAAUUUAUCAGUCUACUUAGAGAUCGAGAAAUCAUAAGUUUGAACAUUAUAAGUUUGACAUUGACCAUGACUUAUGUUCAAACUAGAUAUCGUGUGACAAAGGGAUUAAUACAUGUUCUAUUUAAUAGGCUUUAUCGGACUAUUGAUCCUCAUAUUAGUUGGGUAGUCAUAAUGUCUUGCUAGAGGCCACUUAUGACUUAUAGGCCUUGUUGGACUGGGCCUAUUGCCAAUUAAUAUGAGCCUAUUGGGUCACACACAAGAACGUUGUUGAUGUGCUAUAUUAAUGGGCUAAAAGCCCAUUAGUAUAAUUAAUAAUAAUAAAGUGUUAUUAUUAUUAAU